UACGUAGGGUGCAAGCGUUAAUCGGAAUUACUGGGCGUAAAGCGUGCGCAGGCGGUUUUGUAAGUCUGUCGUGAAAUCCCCGGGCUCAACCUGGGAAUUGCGAUGGAGACUGCAAGGCUAGAAUCUGGCAGAGGGGGGUAGAAUUCCACGUGUGAGCAGUGAAAUGCGUAGAGAUGUGGAGGAACACCGAUGGCGAAGGCAGCCCCCUGGGUCAAGAUUGACGCUCAUGCACGAAAGCGUGGGGAGCAAACAGGAUUAGAA
rnacentral:rRNA from 1 species